rnacentral:rRNA from 1 species
CCUACGGGUGACAGCAGUCGAGAAUCAUUCACAAUGUGGGAAACCCUGCUGGUGCGACGCCGCGUGGGGGAAUGAAGGUCUUCGGAUUGUAAACCCCUGUCAUGUGGGAGCAAAUUAAAAAGAUAGUACCACACGAGGAAGAGACGGCUAACUCUGUGCCAGCAGCCGCGGUAAUACAGAGGUCUCAAGCGUUGUUCGGAAUCACUGGGCGUAAAGCGUGCUUAGGCUGUUUCGUAAGUCGUGUGUGAAAGGCGCGGGCUCAACCCGCGGACGGCACAUGAUACUGCGAGACUAGAGUAAUGGAGGGGGAACCGGAAUGCUCGGUGUAGCAGUGAAAUGCGUAGAUAUCGAGAGGAACACUCGUGGCGAAGGCGGGUUCCUGGACAUUAACUGACGCUGAGGCACGAAGGCCAGGGGAGCGAAAGGGAUUAGAUACCCCUGUAGUC